rnacentral:rRNA from 1 species
AUUGAACGUUGGCGGCAGGCUUAACACAUGCAAGUCGAACGAGAAAAUGCCUUCGGGCAUGAGUACAGUGGCGGACGGGUGAGUAACGCGUAGGAACCUACCUGGUAGUGGGGGAUAACUCGGGGAAACUCGAGCUAAUACCGCAUACGCUCUACGGAGGAAAGAGGGCCUCUAUUUAUAAGCUCUCGUUAUCAGAGGGGCCUGCGUUGGAUUAGCUAGUUGGUAGGGUAAAGGCCUACCAAGGCGACGAUCCAUAGCUGGUCUGAGAGGACGAUCAGCCACACUGGAACUGAGACACGGUCCAGACUCCUACGGGAGUCAGCAGUGGGGAAUCUUGGGCAAUGGGCGCAAGCCUGACCCAGCCAUGCCGCGUGUGCGAAGAAGGCCUUCGGGUUGUAAAGCACUUUCAGUGGUGAAGAAAAGCCAGGGGCUAAUACCCCCGGGUCUUGACGUUAGCCACAGAAGAAGCACCGGCUAACUCCGUGCCAGCAGCCGCCGUAACAC